UAGGGAAUCUUCGGCAAUGGGGGCAACCCUGACCGAGCAACGCCGCGUGAGUGAAGAAGGUUUUCGGAUCGUAAAGCUCUGUUGUAAGAGAAGAACGUGUGUGAGAGUGGAAAGUUCACACAGUGACGGUAACUUACCAGAAAGGGACGGCUAACUACGUGCCAGCAGCCGCGGUAAUACGUAGGUCCCGAGCGUUGUCCGGAUUUAUUGGGCGUAAAGCGAGCGCAGGCGGUUUAAUAAGUCUGAAGUUAAAGGCAGUGGCUUAACCAGUGUUCGCGUUGGAAACUGUUAAACUUGAGUGCAGAAGGGGAGAGUGGAAUUCCAUGUGUAGCGGUGAAAUGCGUAGAUAUAUGGAGGAACACCGGUGGCGAAAGCGGCUCUCUGGUCUGUAACUGACGCUGAGGCUCGAAAGCGUGGGGAGCAAACAGG
rnacentral:rRNA from 1 species